UACGGAGGGUGCAAGCGUUAUCCGGAUUCACUGGGUUUAAAGGGUGCGUAGGAGGGCAGGUAAGUCAGUGGUGAAAUCUCCAAGCUUAACUUGGAAACUGCCGUUGAUACUAUCUGUCUUGAAUACCGUGGAGAUGAGCGGAAUAUGUCAUGUAGCGGUGAAAUGCUUAGAUAUGACAUAGAACACCAAUUGCGAAGGCAGCUCGUUAAACGAAUAUUGACUCUGAGGCACGAAAGCGUGGGGAUCAAACAGG
rnacentral:rRNA from 1 species